rnacentral:antisense_RNA from 1 species
CUUUGGGAGGCCGAGGUGGGCAGAUCACCUAAGGCCAGGAGUUCGAGACCAGCCUGGCCAACGUGGCAAAACCCCGUCUCUACUAAAAAUACAAAAAUUAGCCGGGCAUGGUGGUGUGUGCCUGGAAUCCCAGCUACCCAGGAGGCUUAGGCAGGAGAAAUGCUGGAACCCGGGAGGCAGAGGCUGCAGUGAGCUGAGAUCAUGCCACUACUGCACUCCAGCCUGGGUGACAGAGCAAGACUCCCUCUAAAAAAAGAAAAAAAGAAAAGAAAAGAAAAGAAAAUGAUAUAUCCAUGAUGAAUUAAGAUGGAGUGGAACCCACUGAUGGUAUGCAGCUGAUAAGACGCUAUAAAGAAAUGAUAUCCGGACACAUGACAAAGGAAAGGUAAACCGCUGGUUUAGAGUCUUUGGAAGGCAACUGUAUCUGACUAGAAUUUAAUAUUAUUGUUUUUCUUUCAUUGAUUGCAUUUAUCUGUAUGGCUAGUUAAACUGAUUUUCCGUUUAAAAGUAGUAAUGCAUUUUUUUUACAAUUACAUUGUUUUAAGUAAACAAGAAUUAUUCAAAAGACAAAAACACUAGCACAGAUGGUAUUCAGUGACUGCAGAUAUCAUAAAGAUAGUUCAUGAAUGACAAAGAUUUGAGAAGUAGUGUGUUCACGAUGCUUCCUGGAAGAGGUGGGUUAUACAAUGUUUCUUGGAGAAAGGGAUAGGGGUCUACUGCUAGGAGGGAAAGAUGAAGCUACUUAGGAGGACGAGGAAACAGGCAGUUGGCCUGCCCUCUGCUUGGAGAUCACAGCCAAGGAGGCACAGGAGAGACACCCCCUGGAGGAGCUCCGUGGGCUGCAGGGCUGACAUGGUCCAGCCUGGGCAACAAGAGCGAAACCCCAUCUCAAAACAACAACAACAACAACAACAGGACAACAGAGAUGGACGACGGAUCGGGAAAGCCAACCAGACAGUGUGAGGCCAGGACAGAAAGAGGCACAGGGAGCUCUGCUCAGUUUCGCUACAGGGGAUCUCUCAGGCUCACAAUGGGCCAGUCCUCUAUGGAAGUUCUGGCCUCAUCAUGAUCCUUCUUUCAUCUCACUCCCCAUGCCCUUCCUCUGUCCCUCCUCCCACUGCCAUUUAUUUAUUUAAGUGAAAAAGUACCAAUCACCCCCAUAUGCAUAAAAUACUCAUCCAUGUACCCAUUUCUUAAAAUUGAUCAUUGUUAACAUUUGGUAUAAUUUGCUUUAUUUAUUUUUAAUGAAAGAAAUACAACUUUACAGAAAAUGCUUUAUUUUUCUCUUUGUUCCCUCCCCAUCCUAUCUUUUUCUCCUAAAAAACUCUGUUAUCAGAAAUAUUAGUGUGUAUUCCCAGUUUUGAUUUUUUAUUUUAUUACACACGCACUCCCACACAUAGCUGUGGCAAUGAACUUCACAUAGUAUGGUUCUGUAUUUUCUCUUUGUUUUUCAAACUUACGUAAGUAUUUUACUGUUUCUCAUGGAAAAACUCACUUUUCCCAUCCAACGUUACGUUUUCUUAAGAUCUCUCUAUGUUGAUAUAAAGGAAUCUAGUUCAUUCUUUUUAAUGAAAAUAAAGUAUAUUUUAUGAAUGUAACUCAUGCUAACCAUGGCAAUCAAAGCUCCAACAAGCAUGCAUUUAGU